GUUAGCUCCCCUGUCAUGCAGCUAACGGAAGUGAUGGUAGAGCAUGUUUAAUGCCCACAACUUGAGUUUUAAUGCUUCAUUUAUUUCAAUUUUUACAGAAUGCAUGAAGCAUGGAGGACACAGAGGCUACAUUGGAUAGGCAGGCAUCGCUGGCAGCAAAACCUCUGACCUAGACAGGCAGAGGUUUUAAUUGUCGCCUCAACCAGGUAAAUGGAGAGGAGCCCUCUGAAGACAUCCACGAGCCGGCAGCUGAACUCCAUUACCUUAAGUGAAUUCUCAUGGAGGAUCCACAAGGACCCGGCUUGUGUGAGAGCGUAAGUGCUGGACGGCAUGUGUGAGCCUCUUCCAAACCACCCUCUUCAACGCCUAAAUUGCAUUUUAAUGUAAGCAGAGACCUCAGCGAGGACAUCUUACUGGACCACCAUGUGCAGGGUUAGGUGGAGUGAAAACAUUUUUUACAGCCAAUCAGAUGGCCUGAAAUCUUUGACUGGUUAAAUAUACAUUAGUGUCGCUCCAGUGUCCGUUCCUUGGAGGGCUUGUGCUAGUUAACCAUUCCACAUACUUUAUAUCAGGGAGUUGAGGACUGUAAGCUGAAUAUACAUAUAUCAUCACUCCAGA